CUAUGGACUUAAGAAACCACUAUGAGAAUCAGAAUUUUCUAUGAGAAAAAAAUUGUAAAAAGAAAUUUUCCCAUCUCCGUAAAAAUCUUCUUCUUCUUAACCAUUCACUCACCACAUCGAUCUCUUCAAUCUCUCAGAAAAACCAAAAAUUCCCAAAUCUCAAAUCCACUUCAUUUUUUCAUCCUUCACUUUCACCAGUAAACCAAAUCAAUCAUUUUUUCAUCAUUCGAUCUGAGAAGAAAAUAGACAAACCCUAGCCAUCAACUAAAACCCAGUAAACCAAAUCAAUCACUCUCCAUAUCCCCCUCUCUCUUAAUCUCUCUAAUUAAACAACAAAUAAGUAGAGGAUGUUGAUGAAGACGGAGAAAUCGUAAGGGAUGAUUCUGCUAUCUUCUGGGUUUUCAGUAAGAAAAGAUGAUGACCACAAGUAUGGAGAUCUUGUGAAAUAAUGAAAAUGUUAUGGUGCGAAUAUCCUAGUAAGUAACGGCAGAACCUGUUCUGCAAUUUGCUCAUGGAUAUAGUCUUCGAGAGCAAUGAAAAUCUCAAUCUCACCUUAAGGAAUUGUGAGCUUUUCUAGCAAGGAUAGAAGGCCAUAUGAAAGGAAUUUUGCAGACCCAUCAACUUUAGCUGACUUUGAUGUGGUAUUUGCAGGAAGCAACAAAAAACUAAAGGAAGCAAAAGUUUUACAAUCUGAGGAGGUGAGGAUUAAUGAAUGAUGAUAGAUUGAACAAAUUUUACAUCCAGGUGAGGAUUUGUUGUUGUGUUUAAUGUAUGGGAAGUGAUUGUUUUACCUCCCUGGGUUUGCACUUGUUCUUCCUGCACAUUUCUGUUCAUGAAAAUCUUAAUUCACUGUUUUACUUAACAUAAGAAAGCUAGAUGUUUAGCUAAUCCAUGUAUGUAUGUUGUGUUGACCUAUGCUGCUACAAGUACUUGGGUAGUAGUUGUUCAAUAUGUGCUUUAACGCAUAAAAUAAGGUUUGGCUUGUUCGUAGUAUUGAGCCACGUUGCUCGUUGUUUGUUAACAACAAAUUAUGUUGGUAAGACCACCCAGAUUCCCCAGUAUAUCUUAGAAUCUGAGAUAAAAGCUACAAAUUGAUCUGCAUGUAGUACAAUCUGUACGCAGCCUCGUCGAAUAUCUUCCAUGGCAGUUUCUGAAAGAGUUGCUGCAGAGAGGGGUGAAAAAUUGGGUGAAAUUGUUGGCUAUAAAGUUUGUUUGGAAGGUCAGAGAGGGAGGGAUACUCGCCUUCUGUUUUGUACCAUAGGCAUUUUAUUGAGGACAUUACUGCAUGACAAAAGUUUAAAAGGUGUUACCCAUGUUAUUGUGGAUAAGAUUCAUGAACAUUGAAUGAAUGAAGUUAUCCAGACUUUUUUCAUAUCAUACCAAGGGACCUUCUUCCACGGUGUGCAGAACUGAGGCUUACUUUGAUGAGUCAAACCUUGAAUGGAGAGCUCUUUUUGACCUACUUUGGUGGGGCACCAAUAAUUUAUAUUCCGUGACGUCCUUGGGAAAACAUCAUUAUAUGGUUGGAACACCAUUGAAGAUUUGUAAGCGCAGUUGUGACGCGGGAUCAACAUUUCCAAGUGUUGUUUGUGCAGCUCCUGCAUCUGCUGUUAUGCACGUGCUCUUCUUGGUUUCAUAAAUAGCCUGAAUCCUAAACGGAAGAAAGAUCCACGAAGAAGUAAUCGGGUGUAAGCUUUGGUGUUUGGGGUCAUCGGGUACUGUGGUUUAAGCUUGUCUUCCAAAUAUUUUUUUUGAUCUUUGAACUUUUACACUAUGAUUCCAGGAACACCUACGUUUAGUAUAUUUUUAUCAAUAUUGAUAUUUCACGGCUAAAAGUGUAUCUAGUAUCACAAGAAGAACGACAUCUUGUGUUUCAACCUUUUUCUCUUGGAUAUGGUGACUUUCUUAGUGCAAUAUGAUUUGCAGUAAUUAAAUGUAAGACUUCUUUAUGAGCCUGAUCUUUGUAUGCUUAAAUAUUGGCAAGAUGGUAGCGCAUUAACCAAGUUCGGAAAUGUUUUAGUUGCCUGGAAUUAAUGUGGUCGUGUGUACCAAGCCAAUUUUAGGUGGCUACUGCUCAUGGGUGCCAUUCAUUUUUUUAACUUAUUUUCCAAAGGUACGCCUUGCGAAAACUUGUGAACUGCUCAUGGUUAUAAACAAUAACAUUUGCCAAUGCCACUUGUAUAGGUAGUAUUUGAUUUUACAAUAUGAGUUGAUAUUUUGAUUGAGAUAUAAGACUUUCAAUUGCUAAAUUUGGUCUAUUUUCGAUAACAUUUAUGGAUUUAGAAUUGAUAGAUUUGUGAAAUGCAUGUUCGAUAGAAUGUCAACGAACAUUUAUAAUUACUACGCGGACAGCCUUUUUAGAGGCUAGUUUCGACGCGUAUAGAUGGGGUUUUAGCUAAUAGUUUCUUCUCGAGAAAUGUAUGUUAUAGUGUCCUCUACGGUUUGUUAACAGGGCAUGUUGUUUGGACUUGUAGUUUCGAAGAUGGAGCUUGGAACGUACCGGCAGUCAAGUCAAUUUUCUAAAUUCAGCACCUGUGCCUGUUUUUCCAUCUAAUUUUGUGCCAUUUAGGCUCUGAAUUUGGAAGUUGUAAGGAAAGAUGAUGCUGGUAAUGUGAUUGUCCAGUGCAAAUCAAAUUGGUUGCAUUUCAUCACUGUUUAUUUGCAGGAAGUUAAUGGAAAGAUGAUGCUCUUGGUGGUUGACAUUCCAAUAGGGAGCAGGUGGAACUAAAGCUUGAUUAUAUAUGGGAACGGAUGCAGCUAUGGACCUCCCUACGAGUUUUAAUUGGCAAGUAUGCUCGCUUAGGGCUGGAGCAAUGACCUGAUUUGAGCUAGGUUGUCAGAAACUGAAGGCAUAGAUAGUGAAACUUUAUGGUUUGUUAAGUUUGUAAUAGGAUAUUAGUCUCCAACUUUUUCAGACUUGAAACUUG